rnacentral:rRNA from 1 species
GACGAACGCUGGCGGCGUGCUUAACACAUGCAAGUCGAACGGAAAGGCCUCUUUCGGGGGGUACUCGAGUGGCGAACGGGUGAGUAACACGUGAGUAACCUGCCCUUGACUUUGGGAUAACUUCAGGAAACUGGGGCUAAUACCGGAUAGGAGCUCCUGCUGCAUGGUGGGGGUUGGAAAGUUUCGGCGGUUGGGGAUGGACUCGCGGCUUAUCAGCUUGUUGGUGGGGUAGUGGCUUACCAAGGCUUUGACGGGUAGCCGGCCUGAGAGGGUGACCGGCCACAUUGGGACUGAGGUACGGCCCAGACUCCUACGGGAGGCAGCAGUGGGGAAGAUUGCACAAUGGGUGGAAGCCUGAUGCAGCAACGCCGUGUGCGGGAUGACGGCCUUCGGGUUGUAAACCGCUUUCGCUCAUGACGAAGCUUUGUGUGACGGUAGUGGGUAAAGAAGCACCGGCUAACUACGUG